UACGAAGGGUGCAAGCGUUACUCGGAAUUACUGGGCGUAAAGCGCGUGUAGGUGGCCACGCAAGUCAGGUGUGAAAGCCCAGGGCUCAACCCUGGAAGUGCACAUGAUACUACGUGGCUGGAGUACUGAAGAGGAGAGCGGAAUUCCCGGUGUAGAGGUGAAAUUCGUAGAUAUCGGGAGGAACACCAGUGGCGAAGGCGGCUCUCUGGGCAGAUACUGACACUGAGACGCGAAAGCGUGGGUAGCAAACAGG
rnacentral:rRNA from 1 species